UGGAGCCUGAUGCAGCCACUGGCUUUCCAGACCUCAGUCAAACUGUCCAACCCAUGCCAGCAUGGAAAACGGACGUUAAAUGAUGAUGAUGAUAAUGGUGAUGGUGAUGAUGAUGAUGCACUAAAGUUGCAAAAGCUGAUAAAUUGCAGCAUUCAUUGAGAUGUUACAAAGAAACUCACAUUUUCUGAUAAUGUGAGAGUAAAUAAAACAUAUCGCCAACAAUUCAACUUCUUUUUUCUCGCUCAUGAAUAGAGUUGAGUCAGCUAAUUUCAAGACAUUAUCUGAGAACUUUCAAACAAUUUAUGAAAGCAACUGACAUGGAUGGCAAACCUAUAAUUAGAGACUUCUAGAAGUUCAACACAAUGGAUGCUGCGGACAGCAUAGCUGAGUCAUGGAAUGAAAUGAAACCUUCAUCUUUGAAUUGCCAGAUUGUAUCUGUGCCUUUACAAGUUUUCUACCAGCAGAAAGUCGACAUCAAAUUCAGAAGGAUAAUGUGACACUUGCAAGUGAUAUCGGUCUCAAGAAGUCAUAGAGGACGAUGUGGCUGAGUUGCUGGUGUCUCAUAGAGAAAGUUUAUCGAAUGAACAGCCGAUGCUAUUAGAAC